rnacentral:lncRNA from 1 species
UACGCUACUUUGCAGCCGCUUGUUCGUUUUUUCCAAGCGCAGAGUCUAAUUUUGCCUUUGAUUAUGAGCUCAGUCUCUUCUCUCUGUGUCCACGUUGUCCUCUGUUGGAGCUUGGUCUUUAAGUUUGGUCUUGGGAGCCUCGGUGCAGCUAUUGCGCUUGACGUUUCUUACUGGCUAAACGUGAUUGUUCUUGGAUUAUACAUGACGUUUUCUUCUAGCUGUAGCAAGAGCCGUGCAACUAUCUCCAUGAGUGUGUUUAAAGGAAUGGGAGAGUUUUUCCGGUUUGGAGUCCCAUCUGCCCUUAUGAUUUGGUAUAUCAACUUCUCUUCAUGCCUCUUUUGGUUAAGUCACAGAGUUGUUGAAAUUUGAAUUAAUUGGCUUGAAUCUUUGUGGUGUUGAAUUAGCCUCGAGUGGUGGUCAUUCGAAAUUCUGCUCUUACUCUCUGGGAUCUUACCAAAUCCAAAGCUAGAAGCCUCUGUUCUCUCAAUCUGGUAUGUUCUUUUCAUCUUCUAAUGAUUUUGUGUUGGAAUGGACUAUUAUCAUAUACAACUCAGUUGCUUUCAUUCUUGUUUAACAGUCUAUCAACAAUCAACAUCGUGUACCAAAUAGCAGCUAGUCUCGGCGCAGCAGCAAGGUUCUUUCUUGCUCAAUUUCCCAAUUUGGCAACAUAUCUAACUAAAAUAUCUCUCUGUUGUUAUUGUUGACUUGUUGUUGCAGUACAAGAGUUGCAAACGAAUUAGGAGCUGGAAAACCGAAACAAGCUCGAAUGGCGGUUUACACAGUGAUGGUCAUUACAGGUGUAGAAUCAAUAAUGGUGAGCGCAAUAGUUUUUAGUGCAAGAAACGUUUAUGGUUACCUAUUUAGCUCUGAAACCGAAGUUGUGGAUUAUGAAAGAUCAAUGGUUCCAUUGGUUGCUUUAUCGGUCAUAUUCGAUGCUUUUCACGCAGUUCUUGCGGGUUAGAUUCUUCUCUAGCUCCUUCAAUAAUGUCAAAGUCAUGAAUGAAGUUAAUGAUUAAUACUGUGUUAUUGGUGGAACUGCAUUUGCAGGUGUGACUAGAGGAUCAGGGAGGCAAGAUAUUGGGGCUUACGUAAACCUAGCAGCAUACUAUCUCUUUGGGAUACCAACUGCUAUAAUAUUAGCUUUUAGGUUUAAAAUGAGAGGAAGAGGAAUCUGGAUUGGGAUCACAGUUGGGUCCUUUGUGCAAGCUGUUUUGCUCGGUUUUCUUGUCAUCCUUACCAACUGGAAACAACAGGUAAGUAAAGUGAGACUGAUGUCCUUUUAAUUUCUUGUUUUUAGGGUUAGUAUAUAAAAAAAUUGAUUAGUGGAUAUGAAAAAGUGUUAUGUAUUGAAUCAUUUGGGCAGGCGAGAGAUGCGAGAGAAAGACUGAUGGGUGAGGGGUUUGAAGAUAAAGAAAGUGAAGAUCAUGAAGAGAUCAGCUAAACCAAGAGACUUCAUACACAUGAUAUAAAUGAUAUUUUCAUAAUAGUAAUGUUGUUUUCGAUAAUAGUAAUGACUAAAGAGGAAAUGUAUGUUCACAUGUACGUGCACAUGAGUUUUGGCCUCUAUUGUGUCUCCAUAUACAUUAUAUGAUCUUCCCCCUUAUAGAAGGAAGAUAAUCAUUAAUCAUAUGAUAUUGAGCAAAGUUUUUAAAAAGUUAUUAAGAGAAUUCUAAGGAUUAAUGCUCAUAAGAAAUAUGACGAUUACACAACUAGGAACUUGUAGAUUCACAAACCCUUACUUUUGUCAGAAUUGCAUGUAGUAGUUGUGAUCUCUAUAGUACUCCUCUAUGUCGUCCGCUAACAAUAUGGUCCUAGUCCAGAGAGCUUAGACCAUCUCCAAAGGGGGAUUUAAACUGGGGUUCUAAGGUUUAAAAUUAGAUUUAAAUCAAAAUACCUAAUAUUGCUUCGAACAGUGUUCUGAACUAAGGAGUUUUAGAACCCCUAAGAGAUGCUAACGUGUCAGCCGCUGAGUGCUUCCUACAUUAUCGCAGUUUGAUGGUAUUUGUGGUCUUCAAAUGUUUGGUUUCUUCUCACCCUAUAUAGUUCAGGUAACAAAUCUAAAUCCAAGUCUUGUUCUUCUUCAUUCAAACCUAUCCAUGGUGUUAGAGCAACCCAACGGUAAAGAAACCCAAUUGGAGUUUUUAGUAAUAAAGUAAUAAUAUUUUAGAAAUAAUUUAGUUUUAUAUUUAAAUUUAAAUUUUAAAUAAAAAAUGGACCACUAAAUGAAGAACAUGUGUAGAGACAAUUUUUUAUGAGUACCUUGUUUUAGAAACGAUUCUAUGUCUCUCUCUUCCUUUUUCAUUUUUUUUAUUUGUUUAAUAAUUUAGGUACUCCUAAAAAACCACCAUUGUGGAUGGUCUUAACUCUUACACAACUUAAUCCUCCUCUACAGGCCACUGAAGUUCUUGACCCAAACCAUCUCGUUGAAUACUGGAACCACAAGAACCAAACUACAUGAGACUCAAAAGAUCACUUCAUAUCAUCAAACUGUUCCGUAAGUUUAACCCAAAGGACGGAGACUAUCAGCUAAAGCAGUAUCUUCGUUACCAAUUAAUCGGCGUAGUGAGAAAUCAAGCGACGAAGCAGCAGCACACACCAAGAAUCAUUUGACAUGGCAACAUAUUCCAAUGACCAAGAUCAUUCUCAUCCUUUAUCAUGUCUUGUGAUCAUAGCUUCUGUUUCUGCUGUGUAUUGAUUUGUGACCUUAAUUCAACACUAUCGAACUUUUUCUUCAUUACUAUCGCAACAUGGUCCGAUGAGGCGAUGACUAAAAUGUUCAUACAUUUUGCUAUACAUUUUGGGGCUGUUUACACCUAAGAGCAUCUUUAUCGGUGGUUUCUUAGGCUAAAUCUUAGGGUAUAAUGAAUUAAAAAUAAAUGAGAAAAGAGUGAUAAUGUUAAGUAACGUUCCUUAACUAAGAAACAUUUAUUCACCUAAGAGGCGGACAUGUGUCAAUAAAUGCCCGAUUUUAUUGUCUUUUUCACGUUUCUCUUUCUCUCUCUCUUUCGCGAUGUCACUGAAGAGAUGAAAACCAGAAACAAUUUCAAGCAAAUCGGAGGUAUCGCCGACGUUAAUUAUCUCCGGCCGUCGUUCCGGCGUUAGCUCAUCAUCUCCACUGAUGCUGGUUGUCGAGGGCGUCUUCGGUUCACCAAAUCGGCGAUUCCUGGCUUACGAAAUCGGGGAUAAUUGCAGGAGAUCUUCGAGUUUCGAUUCGAAUCGGUGACAAUCGGUUUGUCAAGGUAGGAAUGUCUCUCUACUUGUGUGAAUUGAUGUGAUUUUAGGUUUUUAAAAUUAGGGUUCGUCGGAUUUGGAAAGUAGGGUUCGUGGAAUUGGGGAAAAAGGAAUUCAUUUUCUUUGUAUAAUCUGGGUAAUUUGAAUCAUGAAUGAAUGUCUCUAUGUAUUCUUCUAUAGCAACAAAAAUCUUAAUCUGGGUAAGAUUCUUCCAUUUUGUUUAUAGUCAGUGUUGUUUAUUUGUCUCUAUGUAUUUUUAUAUAGCAACAAAAAUUGUCAUGUGAAUGGAAAAAAAUGAUACAUUGUAUAUUGAAGUUUUGAACCCAUUUAUUUUUCAUCUUUGAUGCGUCUGACUUCCAAGUCUUCUUCCCAUGUUGCGAGCAAAGUCUUCUUCUGUUAAGACUUCAAAUAGCUCCAAUAGACAUAUAAAAUAAAUGCUUUGUUAGAAAACGAUAUACAAUUAUUAUUUUGUUUGACGGGAAAACUAUAGUUACUUAGAUAAGGGGAUACAUGCUGCUGAGUACCACUCAAUUGUGAGAAUGCCUUUUGGUGAAUUUUCCAGGAAAUGCAAAGAUCUCAGUAGUAUUGGUGACACAGGUAAUGUACUGUUUUUUCUGUAGGUGUGUCACAGUGAGGAUUGUGAAAUGGUCUAUUGAGUUUUAUCUAAUCAUGAUUCUGGUUUUGAUGUUAUGAUUUUGCAGUUGUGAUCUCUGUGACAAAAGAAGGGGUGAAGUUUUCAACAGUAGGCCAAGAUCUUUCACUUCGGAUCUAUCAGUUUGAUUGGGAAUAAAGCUGCAAGGAAAAAGAUCAUGAGUAUCUGAAAUUUAGUUGAUGUUAGAAAGUUUGGAGACCACAAGUACUCAUUUUAUGCUUUGUACACCAUGUAUCAUUGGAUUGCUUUGCUAUAAAUAUCACCAUGUAUUACACUAUAUUUUUCAUUCCCUUUUGUUAUCUUUUAUUCAAAUCAAUACAAAACUCUCUUUCUCUUUUCUUCUUACAAUCUGAAGAACAAAAAUCUAAACCAACGAGAGUUCUUGUUCUUUAAACAACCCUUGUUUUUUGAGUUAAGCCUUGUUCUUUUCACAAGACUUCAUAAACCAAAUCCAAGCAUUCAUAUUUUCUUUUCACACCAAUGUCUUGUUCUCAAACCAAAUCCAAACCUUGUUCUUUUCUUUUUACUAAAAAAAAUCCAAAAACAAUUCUACUUCAAACCAAAAAAAUCCAUCACUAUAUAUUUAUGUUAUAAAUUGUAUCUCAUGUAUUAAUUUUUUAAUUUGCAACAAUUAUUAAAUGUUCUAUAAUUAUAAAUUUUAUUUUUAUAUUAAUAACUUUUUUUAAGAACCACAUGUUAAGAGCCUACCAUUAAUCAUACAAAAAUCUUAACUCAAAAAUACUAUCUCUUAACAAUCACUUUCACAAAUAAAUUACUUAAAUACUAGAUUUUAACCCGCGGUACACCGCGGGAUGAUUUAAUUUUAAAGUUAGUAUAAAAGUAUUUUGUAAAUUGUAUCUCCUUAUAACAUAUUUAUUUAUAUUAUAGUUUACAAUUGUUAUUAAGUAACGGUAUACCACGAGUCCACGAGAUAAUUAUUAAUAAACUGAGGAUUUAACCCGUAUUAAAGCGGUAUAUAAAUAUUGAUUCAAAUUCAUCCGCCAUAUAAAUCAUUUCCGAAAUAUAACCCGUUCCGUAAUUUCUUAACCCGUCCUGUGAUUUGUAUUAAAAAAAAUAAGGAUUAAAUCCGUAUUGAAGCGGCGGAUUAAUGAUAUUUUAAUCUUUUUAUUAUUGUUGAUUCAAAAACCCGUCCCGCUAAACCCAUCCCGCCAAAAAACUCAUUUAUUUUAUUAAUGUUUUUAUUUAUGAUAUGAUUCUGAAUCAUUGUCUAAAUAUUUUAAUCGAUGUAGAACGUUGAACACACAUUUUCGUCAAUUGGAUAAUAUAUGUCCGUUUUAAAAAUUUCAAAUCACAGUAUAUGCAGAAAAAAAAUUGAUUUUUUUUUUACUUUAUGUAUUAUAUGAUGAUUCAAAACAGUUAAAAACAAAUCAAACAAAGAUGAUAGGAGAAUCAUAAUUAUAAAUCUUAAUCAAAUCUUCUAAAAAUCUAAAUUAUUAAAUAUGGAAUAUCCGGUGUAUGAGUUGGGUUAAAUAUAACCCGACCCAACAAAUUUUUUGUGAAGAAAUUUUUAAAAUGGGUCGGAUAUCCGAUAUACCCGAAAGCUUUUUUACCCAUCCGUCACAAAAAGUGCUGCGAUUAUACUAGUAUAGAUUCCUAAGAUUAAUUUCUAAGAGACCACCUAUAAUCACGCUCUAAGAUGCUUUUAAAAAAGUUUGAAUCGGUUAAAGCAAAUUAAAGAAAGCUUUUUUUUUUUUGUUUGUGUUUGUAGGAGUAGCAUGAUACAAUAGGCAACGACGCUAAAUUCCAAAUGAAAAUUUACUUUAAACUUUGAUGGAGGGAAAAAAAACGUUCAAAAGAGCAAACAAUUAUCGAAAAACAGUGAGAAAACACGAGGAGUGGAUUAAAAUUUUAGAUUCGCUCACAACUUCACAUGAUAAACGGAAGCAUUUUUUAAAAAACAUUUUAGUGCCUUGUAGAGAAAGAAACAACCAUAUGUUACUAUAUAAUCCCCGUGAUCUUAGGGGAAGAAGAAGCAGAGAGAAUGGAUUCGGUGGAGAAGGGAUUGCUUGUGGUUAACGACGGAGAACAAGUAAACACGAAAGAUGUUUUUUUACGGGAGAUGAAGAAACUUAGUUACAUUGCCGGUCCGAUGAUUGCGGUGCACUCGUCUAUGUAUGUUCUUCAGGUGAUCUCGAUAAUGAUGGUUGGUCAUCUCGGUGAGCUUUUCCUCUCUAGCACCGCCAUUGCUGUUUCUUUCUGCGGCGUCACUGGUUUCAGCGUCGUCGUAUGUCUCUUUCUUGAUCGCUAUCUCUCUCUUUAUUUACGUUAAUUAGCUCAAGAUAGAUUCUAAAUUGUUAAUCGCACAGUUUGGAUUGGCUAGUGCAUUGGAGACUUUGUGUGGUCAAGCUAAUGGAGCUAAGCAAUUCGAGAAGCUUGGUUAUCAUACUUACACAGGGAUUGUCUCUUUGUUUCUUGUGUGUAUUCCUUUGUCUGUGCUAUGGAGUUACAUGGGUGAUAUACUUUCUCUUAUUGGACAAGAUCCUAUGGUUGCUCAACAAGCAGGAAAGUAUGCAACUUGGCUCAUACCCGCGCUCUUUGGUUACGCUACUUUGCAACCGCUUGUUCGGUUUUUCCAAGCGCAGAGUCUGAUUUUGCCUUUGAUUAUGAGCUCAGUCUCUUCUCUCUGUGUCCACGUUGUCCUCUGUUGGAGCUUGGUCUUGGAAGCCUCGGUGCAGCUAUUGCGAUCGGCGUUUCUUACUGGUUGAACGUGACUGUUCUUGGAUUAUACAUGACGUUUUCUUCCAGCUGUAGCAAGAGCCGUGCAACUAUCUCCAUGAGUUUGUUUAAAGGAAUGAGAGAGUUUUUCCGGUUUGGAAUCCCAUCUGCGUCUAUGAUUUGGUAUAUCAACUUCUCUUCAUGCCUCUUUUGGUUUAGUCAUAGAGUUCUUGACAUGAAUCCAUUUGGUGUUGUUGGAUUAGCCUCGAGUGGUGGUCAUUCGAAUUUCUGCUCUUACUCUCUGGAAUCUUACCAAAUCCGAAGCUAGAAGCCUCUGUUCUCUCAAUCUGGUAUGUUCUUUUCAUCUUCUAAUGAUUUUGUGUUGGAAUGGACUAUUAUCAUAUACAACUCAGUUGCUUUCAUUCUUGUUUAACAGUCUAUCAACAAUCAACAUCGUGUACCAAAUAGCAGAUAGUCUCGCCGCAGCAGCAAGGUUCUUUCUUGCUCAAUUUCCCAAUCUUGUAACAUGGGAGCUAUCUAUCUAAAAUAUCUCUCUGUUGUUGACUUGUUGUUGUUGUAGUACAAGAGUUGCAAACGAAUUAGGAGCUGGAAAACCAAAACAAGCUCGAAUGGCGGUUUAUACAGUGAUGGUCAUUACAGGUGUAGAAUCAAUAAUGGUCAGCGCAAUAGUUUUUAGUGCAAGAAACGUUUAUGGAUACAUAUUCAGCUCUGAAACCGAAGUAGUGGUUUAUGUAAGAUCAAUGGCUCCAUUGGUUGCUUUAUCGGUCAUAUUCGAUGCUCUUCAAAGUUUUAAAAACGUUCUUAAGAGAAUUCUAAGGAAUGCUCAUAAUAAAUAUGACGAGAGUACACAAUUAGGAACUUGUAGAUUCACAAAACCUUACUUUUGUCAGAAUGGUAUGUAGCAGUUGUGAGUGGGUUAAAAAAAAAAGCAAACAAAUAUUUUCUUUGACUUUUAGGUUAUGAAAUUGAAAAAAAAUGGAUUUGAAGAUUAAAAUUUGAUUGGUGCACAACAACAUAUAAUUAAAUUUUUAUUUAUUUAUUCAGUUGAUACCUUGAUGAGGAAGUAACACAAGAACAUAUUCAAAUAGAAUCAACAAUGAAAUUAAUUGAUUUUGUAACAGACCGCUUAACUAAUUAAAAAGUUAAGAUUUUAAUAUUUCAACACGAUUUGCAUAUGAAGUUUUUUUUUGUUUUUUUAACAAAGACUUUUCUUAAUUUGCUAUAAUCAAUGAGCCAUUAGAAGAGAGAAUUUAUGGCGGCUGAAUGAGAAAGGACGACGCAUGUAUCUGUAUCUCGAGGUGUAGAAUCAAAAUACGACACGCCGCUAAAUUCCACAGAGAAGAUAAUCAUAAAAUAUUAGUAUAAAAAGAGUAUUGGAUUGAUUCGGAGAAAGAUUCCGAUUGAAACAGAUCUCAGGGAAGAAGAAGAAGAAGAAGCAGAGAGAAUGGAUUCGGCGGAGAAGGGCUUGCUUGUUGUGAGCCACGGAGAAGAAGUAAACAAGAAAGAUGGGUUUUUGCGGGAAAUGAAGAGGCUUGGUUACAUCGCCGGUCCGAUGAUUGCUGUGAACUCGUCUAUGUAUGUUCUUCAGGUGAUAUCGAUUAUGAUGGUUGGUCAUCUCGGUGAGCUUUUCCUCUCUAGCACCGCCAUUGCUGUUUCUUUCUGCAGCGUCACCGGUUUCAGCGUCGUCGUAUGUCUCUUUCUUGAUCUUUCUCUUUUCUUUGAUUAGUUUGAGAUUCUAAAGUGUGACUGUGAUUGAUCACACAGUUUGGAUUGGCUAGUGCAUUGGAGACUUUGUGUGGUCAAGCUAAUGGAGCUAAGCAAUUCGAGAAGCUUGGUGUUCAUACUUACACAGGGAUUGUCUCUUUAUUUCUUGUGUGUAUUCCUCUGUCUGUGCUAUGGAGUUACAUGGGUGAUAUACUUUCUCUGAUUGGACAAGAUCCUAUGGUUGCUCAACAAGCAGGAAAGUUUGCGACUUGGCUCAUACCCGCGCUCUUUGGUUACGCUAUUUUGCAGCCUCUUGUUCGGUUUUUCCAAGCGCAGAGUCUGAUUUUGCCUUUGAUUAUGAGCUCAGUCUCUUCUCUCUGUGUCCACGUUGUCCUCUGUUGGAGCUUGGUCUUUAAGUUUGGUCUUGGGAGCGUCGGUGCAGCUAUUGCGAUCGGUGUUUCUUACUGGCUAAACGUGAUUGUUCUUGGAUUAUA